UUGAAACACCAAUUCCCAAAUGAUCAACGAAGUUAAGCAACAUUGAGCCUUGUCAGUAUCUAGAUGGGUGAUCACUUGGGAAUACUAGGUAUUGUAAG